rnacentral:misc_RNA from 1 species
GUGGGAGGGGGCUUGCUCCCGAUGGCGGUGGGUCAGUCAGCACAGGUGCUGCUGAUAGCCUGCUAUCGGGAGCAAGCCCCCUCCCAC